AACGAACGCUGGCGGCGUGGAUAAGACAUGCAAGUCGAACGGGAUUCCUUUCGGUAGCAAUACUGAGAGGGAUUCAGUGGCGAACGGGUGCGUAACACGUGGGGAAUCUGCCGAGAAGUGGGGGAUAGCUCGUCGAAAGGCGAAUUAAUACCGCAUAUGAUCAGGGAAGACAUCUUUCCAACAUCAAAGCCGGGGCAACCUGGCGCUUCUUGAUGACCCCGCGGCCAUCAGCUAGUUGGUGAGGUAACGGCCCACCAAGGCUAUGACGGGUAGCUGGUCUGAGAGGACGACCAGUCACACUGGAACUGAGACACGGUCCAGACACCUACGGGUGGCAGCAGUCGAGAAUUUUUCUCAAUGGGCGAAAAGCCUGAAGGAGCGACGCCGCGUGGAGGAUGAAGGCUUUCGGGUCGUAAACUCCUGUCAUUUGAGAACAAGUGCCAACACUAACUACUGUGCUUGAUAGUAUCAGAAGAGGAAGGACGG
rnacentral:rRNA from 1 species